UGGCAUAUAGCUCAGUGGUAGAGCAUAUGCUUAGCAUGCAUGAGGUCCUGGGUUCAAUUCCCAGUACCUCCA
rnacentral:tRNA from 1 species